rnacentral:rRNA from 1 species
GAUGAACGCUGGCGGCGUGCCUAAUACAUGCAAGUCGAGCGAACAGACUAGGAGCUUGCUCCUCUGACGUUGGCUUCGGACGGGUGAGUAACACGGUGAUAACCUACCUAUAAGACUGGGAUAACUUCGGGAAACCGGAGCUAAUACCGGAUAAUAUAUUGAACCGCAUGGUUCAAUAGUGAAAGACGGUUUUGCUGUCACUUAUAGAUUGAUCCGCGCCGCAUUAGCUAGUUGGUAAUGUAACGGCUUACCAAGGCAACGGUGCGUAUCGGACCUGAAAGGGAGAACGGACAGACUGGAACUGAGAAUGACUGGAGACACCUAGGGGAGGAAACAGUCGGAAAUCUUCCGCAAUGGGCGAAAGCCGAACGGAGCACAGCGGCGUGAAUGAUGAAGGUCUUCGGCCCGUAAAACUAAGUUAUUAGGCAAGAACAAAUGUGUAAGUAACUAUGAACGUCUUGACGGUACCUAAUCAGAAAGCCACGGCUAACUACGUG